rnacentral:rRNA from 1 species
UGGGGAAUAUUGGACAAUGGGCGGAAGCCUGAUCCAGCCAUGCCGCGUGUGUGAAGAAGGCCUUUUGGUUGUAAAGCACUUUAAGCGAGGAGGAGGCUACUUGGAUUAAUACUCUAGGAUAGUGGACGUUACUCGCAGAAUAAGCACCGGCUAACUCUGUGCCAGCAGCCGCGGUAAUACAGAGGGUGCGAGCGUUAAUCGGAUUUACUGGGCGUAAAGCGUGCGUAGGCGGCUUCUUAAGUCGGAUGUGAAAUCCCUGAGCUUAACUUAGGAAUUGCAUUCGAUACUGGGAAGCUAGAGUAUGGGAGAGGAUGGUAGAAUUCCAGGUGUAGCGGUGAAAUGCGUAGAGAUCUGGAAGUAUGCCGAUGGCGAAGGCAGCCAUCUGGCCUAAUACUGACGCUGAGGUACGAAAGCAUGGGGAGCAAACAGG